rnacentral:misc_RNA from 1 species
GAUGAAGAACGCAGCGAAAUGCGAUAAGUAAUGUGAAUUGCAGAAUUCAGUGAAUCAUCGAAUCUUUGAACGCACAUUGCGCCCGCCAGCAUUCUGGCGGGCAUGCCUGUUCGAGCGUCAUUUCAACCCUCGCAGCCCAUCUGGGCAGCGGUGUUGGAGACCGGCACCACCGGCGAAGCCCUUAGGGGCCCAGCCGGCGCCGCCCCCGAAAUACAGUGGCGGUCUCGCUGCAGCCUCCCUCGCGUAGUAGCACACCUCGCACCGGAGCGCAGCGCGGCCACGCCGUAAAACCCCCGACUUUCUGAGUUUGACCUCGAAUCAGGUAGGAAUACCCGCUGAACUUAAGCAUAUCAAUAAGCGGAGGA